rnacentral:rRNA from 1 species
UGGGGAAUUUUGGACAAUGGGCGCAAGCCUGAUCCAGCCAAGCCGCGUGCGGGAAGAAGGCCUUCGGGUUGUAAACCGCUUUUGUCAGGGAAGAAAUCUUCUGAGUUAAUACCUCGGGAGGAUGACGGUACCUGAAGAAUAAGCACCGGCUAACUACGUGCCAGCAGCCGCGGUAAUACGUAGGGUGCAAGCGUUAAUCGGAAUUACUGGGCGUAAAGCGUGCGCAGGCGGUUUUGUAAGACAGAGGUGAAAUCCCCGGGCUCAACCUGGGAACUGCCUUUGUGACUGCAAGGCUUGAGUGCGGCAGAGGGGGAUGGAAUUCCGCGUGUAGCAGUGAAAUGCGUAGAUAUGCGGAGGAACACCGAUGGCGAAGGCAAUCCCCUGGGCCUGCACUGACGCUCAUGCACGAAAGCGUGGGGAGCAAACAGGAUUAGAUACCCUGGUAGUCCACGCCCUAAACGAUGUCAACUGGUUGUUGGGAAGGUUCCUUCUCAGUAACGUAGCUAACGCGUGAAGUUGACCGCCUGGGGAGUACGGCCGCAAGGUUGAAACUCAAAUGAAUUGACGGGGU